UACGGGAGGCAGCAGUGGGGAAUAUUGCACAAUGGGCGCAAGCCUGAUGCAGCCAUGCCGCGUGUAUGAAAAAGGCCUUCGGGUUGUAAAGUACUUUCAGUCGUGAGGAAGGUGUUAAGGUUAAUAACCUUAGCAAUUGACGUUAGCGACAGAAGAAGCACCGGCUAACUCCGUGCCAGCAGCCGUGGUAAUACGGAGGGUGCGAGCGUUAAUCGGAAUUACUGGGCGUAAAGGGCACGCAGGCGGUUAAUUAAGUUGGAUGUGAAAUCCCCGGGCUUAACCUGGGAAUGGCAUUCAAGACUGGUUAGCUAGAGUCUUGUAGAGGGGGGUAGAAUUCCAUGUGUAGCGGUGAAAUGCGUAGAGAUGUGGAGGAAUACCGGUGGCGAAGGCGGCCCCUGGACAAAGACUGACGCUCAUGUGCGAAAGCGUGGGGAGCAAACAGGGAUUAGAUACC
rnacentral:rRNA from 1 species